AGGAAAAUUGGUACCGUUAAUGUUAUUACUACCACUGGGUCGAUGCCUCUGCUGAUGGACUGUUAGUCCCCGAGGGUAUCACCAGCCCAGUAGCCAGUACUUCGGUACUGGCAUGAAAAUACGGAUUUUUUGUGUCAUUAAAAUUUGCUGUUACAAAAUGAUAGAAAUUAUUAUAAAUUAAGGAAUGUAUCUCCCUCAUGAAAAGCUCUGAUU
rnacentral:lncRNA from 1 species